rnacentral:rRNA from 1 species
UAGGGAAUCUUCCGCAAUGGACGCAAGUCUGACGGAGCAACGCCGCGUGAGUGAAGAAGGAUUUCGGUUCGUAAAACUCUGUUGUUAGAGAAGAACAGCGCAUAGAGUAACUGUUAUGCGUGUGACGGUAUCUAACCAGAAAGCCACGGCUAACUACGUGCCAGCAGCCGCGGUAAUACGUAGGUGGCAAGCGUUGUCCGGAUUUAUUGGGCGUAAAGCGAGCGCAGGCGGUCAAUUAAGUCUGAUGUGAAAGCCCCUGGCUCAACCGGGGAGGGUCAUUGGAAACUGGUUGACUUGAGUGCAGAAGAGGAGAGUGGAAUUCCAUGUGUAGCGGUGAAAUGCGUAGAUAUAUGGAGGAACACCAGUGGCGAAGGCGACUCUCUGGUCUGUAACUGACGCUGAGGCUCGAAAGCGUGGGUAGCAAACAGG